rnacentral:rRNA from 1 species
AACGAACGCUGGCGGCAGGCCUAACACAUGCAAGUCGAACGCCCGUAGCAAUACGGGAGGUGGCAGACGGGUGAGUAACGCGUGGGAACGUGCCCUUCGGUUCGGAAUAACUCAGGGAAACUUGAGCUAAUACCGGAUACGUCCGUAAGGAGAAAGAUUUAUCGCCGAAGGAUCGGCCCGCGUCGGAUUAGCUAGUUGGUGAGGUAAACGGCCCACCAAGGCGACGAUCCGUAGCUGGUCUGA